rnacentral:rRNA from 1 species
GAUGAACGCUAGCGACAGGCUUAACACAUGCAAGUCGAGGGGCAGCACAGGUAGCAAUACCGGGUGGCGACCGGCGCACGGGUGAGUAACGCGUAUGCAACUUACCUAUCAGAGGGGGAUAACCCGGCGAAAGUCGGACUAAUACCGCAUGAAGCAGGGGUCCCGCAUGGGGAUAUUUGCUAAAGAUUCAUCGCUGAUAGAUAGGCAUGCGUUCCAUUAGGCAGUUGGCGGGGUAACGGCCCACCAAACCGACGAUGGAUAGGGGUUCUGAGAGGAAGGUCCCCCACAUUGGUACUGAGACACGGACCAAAAUCCUACGGGAGGCAGCAGUGAGGAAUAUUGGUCAAGGGCCGAGAGGCUGAACCAGCCAAGUCGCGUGAGGGAUGAAGGUUCUAUGGAUCGUAAACCUCUUUUAUAAGGGAAUAAAGUGCGGGACGUGUCCCGUUUUGUAUGUACCUUAUGAAUAAGGAUCGGCUAACUCCGUG